rnacentral:rRNA from 1 species
UACGUAGGGUGCGAGCGUUGUCCGGAUUUAUUGGGCGUAAAGAGCUUGUAGGCGGUUUGUCGCGUCUGCCGUGAAAAUCCGAGGCUCAACCUCGGACUUGCGGUGGGUACGGGCAGACUAGAGUGUGGUAGGGGAGACUGGAAUUCCUGGUGUAGCGGUGAAAUGCGCAGAUAUCAGGAGGAACACCGAUGGCGAAGGCAGGUCUCUGGGCCACUACUGACGCUGAGAAGCGAAAGCGUGGGGAGCGAACAGG